rnacentral:rRNA from 1 species
GAGGAACACGUGAAGAAUCUGCCCUCCACUUUGGGAUAACACCGGGAAACCGGUGCUAAUACUGAAUAUUGAAACAUAAGUGGCAUCACUGAGUUUUGAAAGAAUUUCGGUGGAGGAUGACUUCGCGGCCUAUCAGCUAGUUGGCGGGGUAACGGCCCACCAAGGCGACGACGGGUAGCUGGUCUGAGAGGAUGGCCAGCCACAUUGGGACUGCGACACGGCCCAGACUCC